rnacentral:rRNA from 1 species
AGUGAACGCUGGCGGUAGGCCUAACACAUGCAAGUCGAACGACAGCACAGUAAGAGCUUGCUCUUACGGGUGGCGAGUGGCGGACGGGUGAGGAAUACAUCGGAAUCUACUUUUUCGUGGGGGAUAACGUAGGGAAACUUACGCUAAUACCGCAUACGACCUACGGGUGAAAGCAGGGGAUCUUCGGACCUUGCGCGAUUGAAUGAGCCGAUGUCGGAUUAGCUAGUUGGCGGGGUAAAGGCCCACCAAGGCGACGAUCCGUAGCUGGUCUGAGAGGAUGAUCGGCCACACUGGAACUGGGACACGGUCCAGACUCCUACGGGAGGCAGCAGUGGGGAAUAUUGGACAAUGGGCGCAAGCCUGAUCCAGCCAUACCGCGUGGGUGAAGAAGGCCUUCGGGUUGUAAAGCCCUUUUGUUGGGAAAGAAAAGCAGCAGGUUAAUACCCCGCUGUUCUGACGGUACCCAAAGAAUAAGCACCGGCUAACUUCGUG